rnacentral:lncRNA from 1 species
AACUCUAGACACAAAUUAAAAUAAUACAAGCUUUAUAUUACAAGCCAGGGGCCUCGAGGGCUCGAAUACAUCAACUCGAAUACAAAUGAGUCAGCGGAAGCAACAAAAUCUAAGUACAGACAUAAGUUAAACAAGUUUGCCUUAAUAAGGCUAGCACAAAUUAGCAAUGAUCGAAAAGUCGUCGCCUCCUGCCUGGGACCUCCUAACUACUCCUCGAAGCCGAACUCCAUGUAUAACCAACCUUGGGAUCCUCUGGCUCCUGGACUCCAGCAUCUGGUUACAACAUCCGAGAAGAAUGGAAAAGGGGGGAAAGAGGGAGCAAAGCAACCAUGAGUACUCAUCCAAAGUACUCGCAAGCAAGGAUCCACACUACAAAUGCAUUGGUAUAUGUGGACUGAACUGCAGAAUGCCAGAAUAAGAGGGGGAGAAGCUAGUCCUAUCGAAGACAACAUUUCUGGUAGCCUCCAUCUUGAUGCAUACAGAAGAGAGUAGCUGGUAAGUCCACCAAGUAGCAACGUAUAGCAUAAACCUACUCGGCGAUCCUCCCCUUGUCGCCCUGUGGGAAAGCGAUCACCAGGUUAUCUCUGGAACUUAUCUGGGUGUGUUUUAUUAAGUAUCUGAUUCUAGUUGUCAUGAGGUGGAAAUACAACUCCGGGUCGUCCUUUUACUGUGGACACGACUAUUCGAAUAGAUCAAUCUUCCCUGCAGGGGUGCACCACAUUUCCCAACACGAUUGAUCCCUCUGGCCGGACACACUUUCCUGGGUCAUGUAGGGACUCGGAAGAUCAACACGUCGCAGCCCUACUUAGGCCUAACAAAGAGGUCACCACGUCGGUCUAAAUCCUAAGCGCGCAGGGGUCUUGGGCCCAUCGCCGUUUGCACUCCUGCACAUUGCGAACGCGGCUGGUGAGCAGACCUAGCAACCUCCAUUACAAAGAAAGUUGAGUUACGCGGUCCAACCCGGCGCGCGCCGCUCAGUCGCUGAUGUCUAGGAGGCUUCGGCUGAUACUAUGACGCUGAGUGCCCAUAAUUAUUCCCGCGUGGUGUUAGUGCGUAUAGGGAAGUGGCCAACUCGUAUCAAAUACCCAAUCUUGUUAAGCGUGUCAUUCGAAGUAACCGCGGACGCCGACCAGGACCAGGCCCACCUGUCUCCUAGGUGGUCACAACCUGCCCUGUCGCUCCACCACAAAGUAACACUCGGGGGCCGUUGGGAACCCAGGCCGACCAAUACCUGGAUGGAACCACCUGUCCUUUCAGCCCCCACAUCGGAAUCACUUGCGGGUACUCUAUGAGUGAACCCGACUUUAGUCACAUCAUGUAACCUGCAUAGUAUGUAUGUAGGUAUAUACUCGUGAUCACCUCCUGAAGUGACCACGGCCUGAUGAUAUAACGUAGCAGACGGACAAGAAUGUAGGGCUACUGAUGAAAUACUAGCAUCCUAUACUAGGCAUUUAGGAUAGCAGGUACCGGUAUCAACAAUUAUAGCAACAAUGACAGGCUAAGCAACAAAAUAGGAGCUAUCGAAACAACAAUAGUAGCAAACCAAAUGCAAGAAUAAGAGAGAAGAGAGUGGGUGAUAUCUGGUUGAUCAAGGAGGGUUUGCUUUCCUGGUUGCUCUGGCAAGGAGGGGUCGUCGUUGAUCUCGUCGAUCACGGGGGUAUCGGCAGUGGUCUCGGGGUCUACCCGAAAGAAGUAACAAAGGGGAAACACAAUAAAUACACAAAGCAAUCAAAACAUCACAAAGCAUAACAUGGCAAUACGCGGUGCUAGGGGUGACUAAUGCAGUACUAGAUGAUACCGACGAAGGGGGAAAUAUCCGGGAAUGUUUUCCCGGUGUUCGGCAUUUUUUGGACAAAUGAAUUGGAGGGGACGAAUCGGUGUUCACCAUGCUAGGGGCAUGUGACAGAUGAAUGGAGUGCAUAUACGGAUUCAUCACAUUUUUCUGAGCAACUUUCAUAUAUAAAUUAUUUUCAUCUGAGCUACAGUUACUUUUCUAUUAAUUUUCAAAGUUUUAAACAUUUUCUAAAUUUAUUUAUAUUUUGAAAUUAAAUAGUAAAAUAAUUUUGUCGCCUAGUGCUAUUCUAGCCAUAAUGUAUGAUAGUGGGGCCAGGGGGUUGGGUUGACCCAGUCAAAGGUUGACUAGUCAACAUAUAAACAGUGCAGGAGGCACAUGUCAUUGACUUGGACAUUUAUUUUAAGAUUGUUUUUCGCUAAACUAAUAGUGGGUUCACAUGUCAUAUGGCUAGUAGCUAAUCUAACUAGUGCUUGACCGUAAACUAAUUGAAGAAGGCCGGCCAGAUGCACAGCCAGCCAGAGGCUGUGCACACACACACGCAUAGCACUGGGCCACUCGGCCAUGGCUAUGGCCAGAACCGAGGCUAGUUCAGGAGCAGCCAACAACGGAAAAGAAGAGCGGCAACGGCUAUGGCUAGGAGCAGCAGCAGUAGAUAGCAAUAGCAGGGAGUAGCAGCAGGUCACAGCAGCUCGUUCUGUAGCGGUAGUAGAGCAACAUGGAGCAGAGUAACAGCAAAGCAGCGCAUCAGCAAAGCAAAGGAGGCAGCAACGGCGGCAACAACACAUGAGGGUGGGCGAGCGAGCGUCACGCGCGCAUGGACGACGCGAGGGAGCAGCGGGCAGGGGUGCACCGGGCGCGUCGGUGGCUUUGGCCUUGGCCAGCAGUAGCAGCGCGGGUAGGCGCGGCCAGGGGUCGCACGGGAGCACGGACUGCGAUGCUAUGAGAGCGAAGGAGUGCAGAGACGACCAUGGCGGCGGCAUACGGAAUGGAUCGAGACCGGAGAAGAGGGGAUCCAGAGUAGAAGCUCACCGCGAUUUCGAUGAUGAGGUCGGGGAGGCGGGGGACGGACCGGAGUAGUGGCAAACGACGCCGGCGCCGGCAAUGUACGCGACGAAGAUGUGCUCGAUGCCGAGCACACGGGGCGGCUCAACUCGAUUUGGUGGGCGUAGUAGAAGGAGACGAAGGUGGGGAAGCUCCUGG